rnacentral:rRNA from 1 species
CGCAAGGAGCGAAAGUCCCACGGAGCCGCGCGGAAGCGGGCGCGGAGUGGAGACUGCGACGUGAACGCCGGCGAUUUCAUCAGCCGCCUCCCGGACGCUGUCCUCGGGACCAUCAUCUCUUUACUCCCCACCAAGGACGGCGGCCGCACGCAGAUCCUCUCCCGCCGAUGGCGCCACCUGUGGCGCUCUGCUCCUCUCAACCUCGAGGUCAUCACCGGGCCUCCCGGAAGCUAUCCUCGGCACCAUCAUCCGUCCGCGGUCCACCACUCCGCCGUCUCCAAGAUAAUCUCCCAACACCUUGGCCCCGCCCGCCGAUUCUGCCUCAAGCACCUGAUCGACGGCGACCUCCCUGAGAUGGAGAGCUGGUUGGACUCCCGAGCCCUCAUCAGCCUCCAGGAACUCGACAUCAUCAAUUACACUGGAUAUAAGACCGGCUAUACAUUGCCGCAAUCCGUGUUCCGCUCCGCAUCCACCCUUCUCGUUGCCAAGAUAAUGGGUUGCAAUUUCCCGGACGCGAUCACACGCUCCAUGAAUUUCUACCUCCUCAACCAGCUUUCCAUGGAUUGUGUUUCGAUCUCGGGGGAUGUGUUCCACGGCUUGCUCUCCGGCUGCCAUGCCUUGGAGAGCUUAGCCAUGCUUGAAGUUCAUGCUGCUGGUUGCCUCCGUGUUAGCUCGCCAACUCUUAGGAGCAUUGGCUUCCGCAAAGGAUCUCGUAAAAGAGCCGAAUUGGUCCUCGAGGAUACUCCUCGCCUUGAAAGGUUAUUAUUACCGUAUUGUGACCGGAAUAAUUCUGCGACUAUCCGGGUUAUUUGGGCACCUAAACUGCAGAUAUUUGGGCCUUUCUCAACAGGCGCGUGUGAACUCCGGGUCUUCCAGGUAGCAGCAACAGACAUCAUUCAGCAUUCUUACAUGGAGAUGGUUAUUUUUUAUGUUGGUUGUUUUCUUCAGGGAAUGAGCCCCGUCAGCUCAACAAACUCGAUACACACCGUGAAGGUUUUGGCCCUCGGGUGUUCUGAACAUCAAUUGGGUGCAGUUCUUGACGUCCUCAUGUGGUUCCCCUGUUUGGAAAAGCUCUAUGUCACAUUUCACGCACACUAUAGGACGUUUAAGCAAAAUGAGCAUCACUAUGACCCACUACAUCCAGCGUGCCUUCAGACCCAUCUAAAGAGAGUGGUGUUUAAGUUAUUCAAAGGCUCUAAGCAACAGAUUGAGUUUGUCAUGUUCUUUAUUUUGUAUGUGAAAUUGCUAAAGAAAAUUGAAUUCCAAGUUUGCGGGGACUACUACAACACUGAAUUUGUGGCUCGUCAACGCGCGCUGCUCAAAGUCGGAAACAGAGCUUCUCGAUAUGCUCAAUUUACAUUCAGGAAUACUAGUGGUUGUACUGAUGACCAUGUCACCAAGCAUAUCCACGAUUUGUCACUAGCUGACCCCUUU